AGAAUGCGAUCAUUUUUAUACCAAUUGUUUUGGACUAUUUAAUGAUUAUUUCCUUAUAAAUUGUAAUAAAUACUGUAAAUUUACACCGUAUGUGCAAUAGGACCUUUGCAGAUCAACGACCUAGGAGACAGAUAUAGGUUGAGGGCACGUGGUAUGCGGAAACAGGAUGGGUGUGACGCAGAGGGUGCAGGUUGAGGGUGGUAUGUUGCGUCAUUGGAUGAUUGGUACCACAGGGACGAGGCGUACGUUUGUCUUUUUCCAUCUGAAAAUCAAUAUUAUUUUAAAAUGUAUAAAAACUGUAUAUAUUAUAUACAGUAGUUUUCGAUACGAAAAUAUUACAUAUUUAAAUUAUAAUGCAAGGGACUACAAGUUCCGUCUUCCGCUACUGCAUGGUGCUUCAUGGCUCGUCGUGGGUGGCUACCGUGAUGUCCUAAUCCCACCAAGUCCCUAGAGGGUACUCUAGGAUCGUAUAGUUCUUAGUGUGAAAACAGAAAGCGGACGGAUUUGCGGAGACAAAGCGCGAAUGAAAAACAUGCGCAGAAAGCUACGCGAGAACAAAAGGAUAAACGAAGAACGAUGGAGACAAAGACUAAAACGUAGGAAUAAAAACGACGGGAGGAAAAAUGACAUUUUUUCAUAUAGAAUUCCCUAAAAAUUUGAAGAUAGUUUAAAAUUGAGAAAUUAAUCCAAAGGAGAAACAAACACGAAUCUAACAAACUAAAACUACCCUAAUAAACUACCUCUCUUUUCAAACAGAAUUAUCAUACACCAAGUAUACACUAGUAAAAGAAAAAAAAUUUCUUUAAUUUUAUAUAUUUAAACAUAAUAUAAUUUUUUUAUCUGUUUUCUAUUAUGUUCGUAAUUAGUUUCAGGAUCCAAAAGAAAAAGGAAAAUGAAAUAGAGGGACAAAGUACAUAUGUUCCUCGGCUUUCAUCGCCUCUUUUUUAGAUGGGCUCACGAGCAUUGUGUUCGACAAAUUUAACGCGCGCACUAAACUCGAAAGCGCCUAUUGACAUCAAGAAAUUUGCAGGAACGAAGGGUUUCAAUGUUAACAGGACAAGAAUGUGUAAUAUCGAAAUAUGUA